AAAGAAUCACUUUUUCUAAGUAUGUCGGAGUGAUUGAGCAGAGAGAAAAAUGAAUACCCUAAGCGAACUAGAAAUCUGGAAAGAACCGAAAUAGAGGCAGUGUCUCAUGACACUUUACUUGAGGACUCACCUGAUGAACUGCUGAUCAACUCUAUAAUUUUUCUUUCUAGGAUUCCUUCACCUAACCAGAACUGACUUCAUCAGAGAGUUAUGAUGGUUAACUCUAUCAGUCUUCUACCUGAAUGCCCCAAGAUAUUGAUGAAGUCAACAAAAACAUUGAGCCUCAGAACACAAGAAAUCUUGGACAAACUGGGAGACAGCUUGUCAGUAUCUAAGGUCUCUGUCUUGUCCUGGAGAUGUCCCCCAUCUCCUCAUCCCCAUCAGCUGAGGAUUUCCAUUUGUUUACAUGGCCCUCCAGGAUCUCUCCUGCACUUCCCCAGACUUGAUCCUGAAGCCUCCAUUUCCCUCCCUAUAGGGUUCAGAUAUCUCCAACCAAAGAACAAGUCAGCCAUGCUAUAAGUGCCUUGAAAUCAAGUUCUAAGUGAUCUGUUGCCCUUCUCUUGCCUCUACCUGCUUACAGAGAAAAGAGCAGGUCUCAUGGUGAUAUCAACUUAACACUGCAGUAACAAGAUGCAAUAAGAGGAGACAUAAACUCUCACAUCAAGGCUUGAAGAAGUAACCCAGCAG
rnacentral:lncRNA from 1 species